rnacentral:tRNA from 1 species
ACCUAUCUGGCUCAGUCGGUUAAGCCUCUGAUUUUGGCUCAGGUCAUGAUCUCACAGCUCGUGGGUUCAAGCCCCAUGUUGGGCU